ACACACUCACACCCUGUGAAGGGACGUGAGGUGUGAGGUCAGCUGACACGUGCCGCAGUCGUCUGUCAUUGAUGUCUGAUGCCUGCUGCUCACAUGCCACAGGACAGAACAGAUGCCAGCAGAAUGAGAGACGAGAUUCCAGAAGUUUCCACACCAUGCAAACUCCAGCAAAACACACUGCUGUGACAAAACAAACAGCUCACCUGGCGGGCCGCCCUUCUGGCCUCCCAGUACGGUUUUGAGUCUUCUACGGCUUUACCGAUCUUCUUGACCUGCUCAUCCAGCUUGACUGUGGCCUCCAUUAGGACGGCGCGAAACUUCUGCCGGGAAUCCUGCAGAACAGAGUGAAGUGAUAUACUGAAGUGUGAAUUAAAGUACAUGCAGUCUGUAAAUCCUGAAUAAAUCUCAGUGCACUGAAAGGCUCAUCAUAUCCAAGCAACAUGCACUGUAUGCUCAGGAAUCUCUCUGAAUUAUG